GGCGGUGAUUUAACUAAUCAGAGGAAUUUGUCCUGUAAUCGAUAACCCCCGAUAAAAUUUACUUAAAUUAGUAGCCAGCUUGUAUACCGCCGUCAGAAGAAAAUUUUACAAAAACAUUUUCAAGAGUUAGUUAUAAAGUAUGUCAGGUCAAGGUGCAGUUUAUGUUUAAGAAGAGAUGAAUUACAAUAAAAUUAUUUAAUACGGAAUUUUAAAUGAAAUAAUAAAAAUAAGGUGGAUU
rnacentral:rRNA from 1 species